rnacentral:rRNA from 1 species
AUUGAACGCUGGCGGCAUGCCUUACACAUGCAAGUCGAACGGUAACAGCACUUCGGUGGCUGACGAGUGGCGAACGGGUGAGUAAUACAUCGGAACGUGCCCGAGAGUGGGGGAUAACGCAGCGAAAGCUGUGCUAAUACCGCAUACGAUCUAUGGAUGAAAGCGGGGGAUCGCAAGACCUCGCGCGAAUGGAGCGGCCGAUGUCAGAUUAGGUAGUUGGUGGGGUAAAGGCUCACCAAGCCAACGAUCUGUAGCUGGUCUGAGAGGACGACCAGCCACACUGGAACUGAGACACGGUCCAGACUCCUACGGGAGGCAGCAGUGGGGAAUUUUGGACAAUGGGGGCAACCCUGAUCCAGCCAUGCCGCGUGAGUGAAGAAGGCCUCGGUUGUAAGACUCUUCUAGACGGAAGAAACGACAUACGGUGAAUAACCGGUCGUGGAGUGACGGUACCGUAACGAAGAAGACACCGGCGUAACUACGUAGCCAGCAGCCGG